CAAGCCCUGGAAACGGGGUCUAAUACCGGAUAUGACUGUCCAUCGCAUGGUGGAUGGUGUAAAGCUCCGGCGGCGCAGGAUGAGCCCGCGGCCUAUCAGCUUGUUGGUGAGGUAGUGGCUCACCAAGGCGAUGACGGGUAGCCGGCCUGAGAGGGCGACCGGCCACACUGGGACUGAGACACGGCCCAGACUCCUACGGGAGGCAGCAGUGGGGAAUAUUGCACAAUGGGCGAAAGCCUGAUGCAGCGACGCCGCGUGAGGGAUGACGGCCUUCGGGUUGUAAACCUCUUUCAGCAGGGAAGAAGCGAAAGUGACGGUACCUGCAGAAGAAGCGCCGGCUAACUACGUGCCAGCAGCCGCGGUAAUACGUAGGGCGCAAGCGUUGUCCGGAAUUAUUGGGCGUAAAGAGCUCGUAGGCGGCUUGUCACGUCGGUUGUGAAAGCCCGGGGCUUAACCCCGGGUCUGCAGUCGAUACGGGCAAGCUAGAGUUCGGUAGGGGAGAUCGGAAUUCCUGGUG
rnacentral:rRNA from 1 species